UGCGGUGGGGGGGAGAGGGGGGGAGGUAGACGAGGGAACGGUGCGUGACGCGCGCCUGUUAACCAUGCACUGGCUUUAGGGUUGCCCUGUGGUCGCUAUUCAAACGCUUCGUCUGUUCUUCCUUCCCGUCGCCAGCCUCUUUCUUUGGUCCCGGUAGUCUUCCUACCGGGAGGAAUCCGGCCCCUUUCCUCUUACUCCCUGGUGGCGAAGUGGCCAGAGUUGAGUCGCCGAAUUCAGCUUGUAAAUGCAACCCAGAGGGCGAUCGCGUUCUCUUCGAGAACCGCUCUGGAGUGCAUGAUUUCCCCCCACUUCUCCUGAGGUUUAAUCAGUUCCAGAGAGUUUCUCUGUAACACCUUGUGCAGUCACAGAAAAUACAGAAGGCUUGAUAGGAGAUAGGCUAAUUACCUUCCCACUCCCCCAAGCCAGUAAUCUCAUUUACGCCUCAUAGUGGGGAAACUGCAAUCAAAACACUCAAAUGGAAAUGAUUCACCCAGAUGUAAAGUUUGCACUGAAACAAAUCAUUUUCCAGCGCAUGUGUAUUUUCAUGCUUCAGAAAAAUCAUUUUAGUUCUACUUUAAUUUUCCUUCAUGAGGGGCUGUAAAUACUAAAACCUGAAGGCUUUGCUAAGAUAUGACCCUCUUCAUUUAAUUUGAGGGUUCAGGAAGGAAAUUCCUGAUAUUUCUCUACAUAGUGAAGUAAACAUUUUGAAAAUAUUUUUACAAGGACCUAGUUAUAGCCCCUCCUGGGCUACUUCUUAAAUGUCUCCGCUAGACGUACAGUCUUUUCAUUCCUUAGAUACAAUACCUUCCACGAUAAUAGGGCGAUACAAUUGUUUUGCAUUGUCCAAAGUGCCAAAUAUUCUAGAACAAUCUUGUGCACAGUUUAGGCUCCCAUACGUGUUGAUUUACUCAUUGAUCCUCAUAGAAUCCUUUUCCUGGAGCAUCACCAAUGUAAUUACACGGAAACACCCAAAACCAUAAUUAUUACUCCAGAGAGCAACUAAGUCAAUCAGUUUCUGCUAAAGAUCGUCACCGAGCGCAUGCCUUUUGUUUUUUCUUUACAGUAUUCGUCAAACAGAAAAUGAUAAAAAAUGAGUUUAUUCAUAAUGGCUAUUAUAGGCUCUGAAGUGUCAGUAACAUGCUGAAGGUGGGGCUCCCUGUGGUCCACGUUAAUCCACUACAGCUGAGGCUCAUUACCUGUGACGCCUUAGACAAGGUAUUCUCUUAACCUUGAAAAUCUGUAUAAUGGGGAUACUAAAACUUGAUAUAAGUUGCAAAAAAAAAAAUAACUGAAAUAGAGAAUUUAGUAAGUUGGAAUCUCACACGGAAAAUAGGACACAUCUGUGUUCCUUACCCCUACCGUACACAUGUCACAACUAGAAACAGAACAUAUCAUACAACUCAAAUGGCUCCCACAAAUCACGACAACUAUGGUUAUGUACUGUGCUUAAAGCACAUGAAGAAUACGAGCCACUUAAUCUGCUGGGCCAAGGACAGGCCCAUGUGAUGGCAAUUCCACCAAGGGCCUGAAAAGAUGAUCCAUUUAGUUCUUCAGACUUCUCCCUCCUCUCUUGGUCUCCCCAUGGACAAUGCUCCAGAAUGGGUUGGAUCAAGGAACUAGAUGCCCUGAUAACCGAAUAAACACUUGUUUAUCAAACAAAGGCUAAAGUUUAAAUCGAAAGAGCAGAGAGUAAGCCAAAAGCUAACCCAGAGGAGUUUUUAGUUGCUCAGGGUGGAUGGAAAACAAUAGAAUGUAUGUUUGGGCCUAUUGAGAGGGUGGCGUCAUUGAAAGCAGGUCCUACAAGGUUAGUCAACACAGAAGAUGCUUUCCCUGGGUCGUUCCACCUGUCCUCAGGGAAAGAAGAGAAAACUCCAAAGGCCUGUGUGUGGCCCAUUAUGUUUAGUCCUUCAGACCUCUAUGGGGCACUGCUUUUGUGCCAGGCAGUGUGCUGAGUCCUGGAUCUAACAAAGAUACCCAAGGUGGACAGCAUUGCCACACUCAAGGAGGGCAUGGUCCACAUUUCUUUAGCUGAAUUGAAUAGCUUCCCAAAAGCAAAGAUAAGCUUACAGAUAUUUCUACUUUUUCUAAGACCCAGCUAUGCCAUUAAGAGACAGCCUUGGGCAGGUGUAACCAUUUAGAAUACCCACUUUUUCGAGUGAGGAAUGAGCUGGAAGCCCUCUUGUAGCUGUAAUAUUGUGCGGUGCUGUGAUAUCUGGGAAAAGAUAAAUCUGAAAGGAACUUCUGGAUGCCCAGAACCACCUCCUAUAAUAGUGCCCGGCUACUCCUUUGGAGCCCUUCCCUUCUGCCCCUCAUGGUAGCCUUUAGUCAAGGAUUUUGUGGCUUAGUUAUUUACAUCUCAAGUGUCUCUCUGGACUGUUGAGUGCUUUGAAGAUUAGACCACAUGAGUGAGAUUGAUGUUUCUUGCCUACCUAACAUUCUUUAAUCAGGCCCUUCUCCAGCUCCCUCUUCCCACUCUCUUUUGUUCUCCAGGCUGACGCCAUCUUGGCUCUGUUCCUUUUACAAAGCCAGUCUUGUGUCUGCCUUUGGGACUUUGUCUAUGCCACGCUCUUCACCUGGGAUGAUUUCCUCCUGGUGCUCACAUGGCUGGAUCCUUCUUGCCAUUCGGAUCUUAGAGUAAACAUCAUUUACACAAUGGACCUAAACCACCCAGCUGGCCAUCCUUUGCCACUCAUCCUAUUUCAAUGAUCUGCAUAUUAGUUUUAUUAUCUGACAUUUUUCUUGGGUUCAUUAUCUCCUUGCACUAGAAAGUAGCCUCUGUAAGACAGGGAUGAUAUUUGUUUUAUUCUUCAUAGUAUCCCUGAUGCCCGGAAGAGUGUGUGGCCUAAAGGAAGUGCUUAAUAAAUGAAACGACUUAAUAAUAUACCCCUUAUAUAUUGCUGGGUACAUAAUUGUUUCUCAAUAAAUUAUGGUUUUCCUCCCUUCAUCUCAUAAUCAAGGGUACGUUUUCUUAGCAAUCCCUUCACACCUCACUAUAAAAAGCAAGACAAAAUCAAACCAAACAAAAAAGAAAACCCUUGAAUUUAGGUAUUUUAUUAUAUAUUACAUAUUAUGCUACUCAAUUCCUUCAGAAAACCAAGGCACUAAAUUUUGUAAAUGAUGUACAAGGAAGAUUUUGAAAUCAAGGCUGUUCUUUUAGUCCAAGGAGGUCAUUAAACAAUCAUAGUGAAUAACCAUUUUUCAAGAAAACUGAAGUAGAUACUCUUUUUUACAGACCACAUUCAAUGGACACUUUGUCAAGUGCAGAGACUCUUACCAUUGGGAGGGGGGCCAUCUAAGGCUUUCAUCUGUCCAUCUUGGGAAAAUGCCAGUGUUGCUUCUUAUUCCAAGGACCACAGAUAAUCUUCCAAUGAGUCAGAAAAAUGUAUCCUCUCUUCUCUCUCCUUUUAAACUUGCUCCCUAAAUUCUCCUUUGUCCCCUAAUUCUUUGCCAUCUAUUAAAAUAGAAUUUUAAAAUGAGAAUCCAUUAGGCCCCAUGAUUCUUUGCUUCUGCUUUUGGGUGAAGGCCCUCUGGCCUAUUCCUUUCAUGAACCUCCCGGGUUUUGCAGGUGCGGACUGAUCAUACUCAUGAGACGUUGGCCGUUAACUAAGGAGAACUCCCCUUUGUUCAGAGGUUAAAGAAAUGGCAAGCUAACUUUCCCAGAGUAGCACAGCUCAGACACAGAGACAGCCUAGUGCUCUCCAGGUCUCUUCCCAGCAUUCUGUGAUUGUCCUGCAGAAUCUGUAAAAGUAGAUGUAUCCUCAGUAGAUGUUGGUAGCAAGAUGUCAACCUGUAUUUGUAGAUACGUAGGAAUAAAGGGAGGGAACACUCUCUUCAUUAAUGACACCAUAUGAAUUUGGUUUAUAGGAAAGAAUGCUGUCAUAGCGUCUUCGACUUCUAUCAUUCAACCGACUUUCCCCAAGAGCUUCAGAACCUCUCAUCCAGCCUGAGGACACACAGGAUAACCUGGCCACCUCACGGAGGGUUUUCUAUCUUGUAAUCACAAAGGUCUUUCAUAACCUUCAUAUUGCCAGAAAGCCUGAAUGAACAUUUAUUACAAAACACUUCUACUUUCUUUUCUUUUCUUUUUUUUUUAAUGUGUAUUUAUUUUGAGAAAGAGAGAGAGUGUGUGUGUACAUGAGCAGGAGAGGGGCAGAGAGAGAGGGAAAGGGAAUCCCAAGCAGGCUCCACACUCAGUGCAGAGCCCGACACAGGGCUCUGUCUCAAGACCACGAGAUCAUGACCUGAGCUGAAGUCAGGAGUCAGACACUUAACCUACUGAGCCCCCAGGUGCCCCUACUUUAUUUUCUUUUAAAAUAUCCUUCUCGGGGGCUCCUGGGUGGCUCAGUUGGUUGAGCGUCCGACUUCGGCUCAGGUCAUGAUGUCACAGUCUGUGAGUUCGAGCCCUGCAUCGGGCUCUGUGCUGAUGGCUCGGAGCCUGGAGCCUGCUUCUGAUUCUGUGUCUCCCUCUCUCUCUGCCCCUUCCCUGCUCAUGCUCUGUCUCUCUCUGUCUCAAAAAUAAAUAAAAACAUUAAGAAAAAAAAAUUUAAAUAUCCUUCUCUACGCAACGGUAAGGCCUCAAUGAAGGUGCCUAGCAUGUAGUUCUGCAGCCACGGCAGAAUGACCGUUGGGUUGUCAGAGUGGCGAGGCACAUGCACAAGUACCAAGUUGGUAAGUAAUUAUAUUUUCGUAUCUCUGUGUAUGCAUAUUUACAUAUAUGUGUCUACGUGUGUGUGUGUGUAUAUACAGAGAGAGAAAGAAA